rnacentral:tRNA from 1 species
CCGACCUCGGGCAGGAACAGGCUGCCGCUGUCGUCACCGGCGGUCAGGGUCGCCACCCGGGCCCAGUGCUCGGUCCCCUCGUCCAGGCCGGG